CUGGUGUAUAGCCAAAUGGUAAGGCAAUAGCUUUUGACGCUAUCAUGUAGAGGUUCGAGUCCUUUUACACCAGA
rnacentral:tRNA from 1 species